rnacentral:lncRNA from 1 species
UUCAAACAGAAGGGGUGAGAUAUCAUAAUUAUAUAAAGGAAAUCAUGAUAAUAAGUAAGCAUCAGAUUAUCACAUGUACAACACCCAUUCCACAACACAAUUCCAUAUAAUCCGCAGGACAACUAUCCAUACAUAAUAGCAACAUCACAACUAUCUGACAUAAUAACAACAUAAUCAACCAUCCAACAUAAUAACAAAUGCAACCAAUGUACAAUGCAAUCAGACUCACCAACUUGACUCAAUGCACGUGGUACCAAUACGUGAACACUCAGGUUCACCACUCUGAUCCUUACCUCAUAGGAUCAAAGUCACUAAUUUGUUACCAUCACCUCCGAUGACAUCUCACUAAUUCCGUCACCUCCAAAAUCAGUUACCGACUCAAUCCACACAAUGUGAUUUGAUGCUCACCAACAACUGACCAUUUGUCUAACGACAUGAAUGCAUGCAACAUACAAUACUUGCAACAACAACAUCAUGCAUAAUGACUCACCUCUGUAGUCAAUGUACACCACCAAUAUUGGUCAUCAUGCAUCAAACACAUGUUAUACAGCUCAACAACAUCAAUAUACAACAUAAUAAGCAACAACAAUGCAUUUAAGGUUAUGUCACACCAUCACAUAAACAUUUCAAUGUAUGUCAACACCAUCGCACCAAAAAAUAUUCAUUUUCAUGUACUCAAAUCAAUUUUA